rnacentral:ncRNA from 2 species
UUUCCCUCAGGAUAGCUAGAGCCCAUGAACGAGUUCUAUUGGGUAAAGCCAAUGAUUAGAGGCAUCGGGAGCGCAACGCCCUCGGCCUAAUCUCAAACUUGAAAUAGGUAGGACGGUGCAGUUGCUUUGUUGAGCUGCGCCAUGGAAUCGAGAGCUCCA